rnacentral:rRNA from 1 species
GUGAGGAAUAUUGGUCAAUGGACGAGAGUCUGAACCAGCCAAGUCGCGUGAAGGAAGACGGUUCUAUGAAUUGUAAACUUCUUUUGUGCAGGAAUAAAGUGGGUUACGUGUAACCUUUUGUAUGUACUGUACGAAUAAGGAUCGGCUAACUCCGUGCCAGCAGCCGCGGUAAUACGGAGGAUCCGAGCGUUAUCCGGAUUUAUUGGGUUUAAAGGGUGCGUAGGUGGAUUGAUAAGUCAGCGGUGAAAGCUUGCAGCUUAACUGUAAAAUUGCCGUUGAAACUGUCGGUCUUGAGUGCAAAUGAGGUAGGCGGAAUGUGUUGUGUAGCGGUGAAAUGCUUAGAUAUAACACAGAACUCCGAUUGCGAAGGCAGCUUACUGGGAUGCAACUGACACCGAUGCACGAAAGCGUGGGUAUCAAACAGGAUUAGAUACCCGAGUAGUCC